rnacentral:tRNA from 1 species
GGAGAGGUGGCCGAGUGGCUGAAGGCAGCCGCCUGCUAAGCGGUUGAGGGGGUAACACCCCUCCGAGGGUUCGAAUCCCUCCCUCUCCGCCA